GAUGAACGCUAGCGGCAGGCCUAACACAUGCAAGUCGAGGGGUAACAUGAGUGCUUGCACUUGAUGACGACCGGCGCACGGGUGCGUAACGCGUAUGCAACCUACCUUCUACAGGGGGAUAGCCCAGAGAAAUUUGGAAUAAUACCCCAUACGAUCUAUACUUGGCAUCAAGUAAAGAAGAAAACUUCGGUGGUAGAAGAUGGGCAUGCGUCCUAUUAGUUAGUUGGUAAGGUAACGGCUUACCAAGACAUCGAUAGGUAGGGGCCCUGAGAGGGGGAUCCCCCACACUGGUACUGAGACACGGACCAGACUCCUACGGGAGGCAGCAGUGAGGAAUAUUGGACAAUGGAGGCAACUCUGAUCCAGCCAUGCCGCGUGCAGGAAGACUGCCCUAUGGGUUGUAAACUGCUUUUAUACAGGAAGAAACUGCGCUACGUGUAGCGUACUGACGGUACUGUAAGAAUAAGGAUCGGCUAACUCCGUGCCAGCAGCCGCGGUAAUACGGAGGAUCCAAGCGUUAUCCGGAAUCAUUGGGUUUAAAGGGUCCGUAGGUGGUCCAUUAAGUCAGAGGUGAAAUCCUAUCGCUCAACGAUAGAACUGCCUUUGAAACUGAUAGACUUGAGUUAUUGUGAAGUAGUUAGAAUAUGUAGUGUAGCGGUGAAAUGCAUAGAUAUUACAUAGAAUACCGAUUGCGAAGGCAGAUUACUAACAAUAUACUGACACUGAGGGACGAAAGCGUGGGUAGCGAACAGGAUUAGAUACCCUGGUAGUCCACGCCGUAAACGAUGGUCACUAGCUGUUUGACUAACAUUGGUUAGUUGAGUGGCUAAGCGAAAGUGAUAAGUGACCCACCUGGGGAGUACGCUCGCAAGAGUGAAACUCAAAGGAAUUGACGG
rnacentral:rRNA from 1 species